CUUCACUGAACUCGAAAGCCAUAGAGAUGGUGAAGAUUUCUCCGAUGAAGAUGAAGAGGAGGAAAAUCAAGUUGAUGAACUUCAAAAUGCCAAACUUGAGCCUAAUGUUGGCCCGAAGUCUGCUACGAAUAAGGCUCUUCCUGCUGAGCCCAAGCCCUUGGAAAAGUCAAUAUUGAAGAAGGUGGAGCUAAAGAAAGACAAGACAGAAUCAAAUUGAAGAUGAUGAUGACAGUGAUGUUAGUGAAGAUGAUGAUGAAGGAGAGGAAAUUAGUGAGAUGGAAGAGGAUUCAAGUGAUGCCUCAGCAGAUACAGACUCAGAAGACAGCGACGAUGAGAAUCAAGAUAUGGUAUCUCAAAAG